UUUCUGUGUCUCCUGUUCAAACCUGAUUAUCGAGCCACCAUGUUCAUCUAUUUAAUAAUAUUGAUAUCCUCAGCUCAAGGUUCCAGAGCCACAGAAGUCAUCACACCGUACAGUGCUUAUGAAUUUGCUGUUGAGGGUGACAGUGUAACACUCUCUUGUAGAUACACUGAUUCUGUUCGAGGUCUUCACUGGUAUGUCCAAUACGCAGGUUUACCACCACAGUUCCUCAUACUGGAUUACCUUGGGUUAGUUACAAAAGCUAAUCCUCCAGUUGCUGGAAUCUCAAUCCAUCACAGAAAAAACAACAGCAGUGUGGAUCUGGAGAUCGCCUCUGUGGCUGUAACUCACUCUGCGGUGUACUACUGUGCUCUGGAGCCCACAGUGAAAGGAAAUAUAGUGCAUGCUGUACAAAAACAAGAGUUUGUGGAUGAGUGUGUGUGA